GUUGUAACACAAAAUUCUGAGUCCUAAAAAAACUCGUAACAGAGAAAGGGAAUAAGCCUCUUCAAACCCGAAUCCCUUACUACGAACAAAGGACCACUUGCUAAGCAGAAUGGAACUGAGAACGGUUAUAAUUACCAACAGGAUUGUCCCUUCCACAGAGGGCAGACACAUCUCUGAUGGAAAAUGACGAUGGCAUUAAAAAAAAAAAAAAAAACCUGUUGCCAUCAAGUUGAUUCCGACUCCUACCUAGUAUACUACUGCUACUCUAGCUAAAACCUGUUGUCCAUAAAAGUGGUCUUAAGACUGGCUAACUGCCAAUUUUUACUAGCUUUAAAUUAAAAAAAAUUUGAAAGCCUUACUUAGGACUUCACAGGACACUGGUGUACCUCCUUAUAGACUUUUCAAUUUUAUUAAAAAAAAAAAAAGAUCCUGUUGAUGACAUUUUAAAAAUAGAUAAUUUGCACGUCAAUUAGAUUUUUACUCACAUAAAACCAUUCUAAAGAAUAUGAAAUCUUCACUACAAAUGCCACUUUUCUUUAAGUGGGAAAGAAAGAAGAAAGGUACUAAAGAAGACUAUAGUGCCAUGAGGAAAAAUUAAGGGGAGUUGAAUACACUAAGCAAAAACAUAAAUUACUCAAAAGUGCUAAGCAAAACAAGCUAAGCACACAUAAGAAAAUACCCAUGUUUUUACUUUGGCUUAAAAGGGUCAUUUCUUUGAUCCUUCUGUUUAUUUCCAGUUAGUUUUGGAUUCGUUUUUCCUGCUUUUUAAAAGGUGCAGAUGAAAUGCAGCUCCCGGGUAUGCCUCAGCAUCUAGAAUCUUCUUUGAAACUGCGAUGAAACGGACAUGUAUAUGCGCGUGUGAAUUCUGCUGGGAUGAGAGCUGUCUCCAGUUUCGCAAAUACCACUGGCUAGCAGAAGGAGCACCAAGUUUUGGAGCAGAAAACUUGGUUGAAAUCUUGCUCUGCCCUUCAAUGGCCACGUCGUCCUUAUUGCUGUGUGCCAUCAGUUGAUUUUUGACUCCUAGUGAAACUCUGGUGGCGUAGAGGUUAAGUGCUAUGGCUGCUAACCAAAAGGUCGGCAGUUCGAAUCCGCCAGGCACUCCUUGGAAACUCUAUGGGGCAGUUCUACUCUGUCCUACAGGGUCGCUAUGAGUUGGAAUCGACUUGACAGCACUGGGUUUUUAGCGACCCCAUGUAACAGACCAGAACUACCUCAUAGCGUGUCUUGGGUGGUUAAGUGCCCAGCUGCUAACCAAGAGAUGGAAAGGUUAGCGGUUGGAACGCACAAGCCGCUCCUCAGGAGAAAGAUGUGGCAGUCGGCUUCCAUAGAUUUACAGCCUUAGAAACCUUAUGGGACCGUCCUACUCUGUCCUAUAGGGUCGCUAUGAGUUGGGAUGGACCCCACAGCAAUGGGUUUGGUUUUGGGUUUUAAUCUUUACCACAGAGUGACAGGUUUCUGUCUCCGAGACACUGGGUGGGUUUGAACCUCCAAUCUUAUGGUUAGCAGCCAAGGGCUUAGCCCUUGUGCCACUAGGGCUCUCUCUUUGUAGCAGUCCUUAUUCUGCACCUCCGUUUUCACAUCGAUUAGAUGAGAACAGUUACACUCCCUCACUGUGAGGGCGCAGUGACUGAUCUGGACUCCACCCACGCUGCGCACGUGGUGUCACAGAGAAACCAUCUCUACAGCCUGCGUUACGGUUCCUAAAGCCUCGUCCCGACUGCUCAGAGCCGGGAAGUCAGGACAGCAGCGAACGGGUGUUAGCCUGACUCGGCUCAGCCGGAACCCCCGACCUGUGAAUCGCCAAGGCACCACGCGAACAGCUCUCUCAACUAUGACCUUGUUAUGUUUUUCUUCAGCUGGCAUGAAGAUCCACCUGCAUGGCCCAGUCAAGGCCCCGAGCGGGGGCCGUCUGGGGGGAGAGGGCCGCACGGAGCCCCCACUUUGCGCCGGGAAAGGCCCGUGCCUGUGGGGUGUGCGGAUGCCUCCGAGAGACAACUAAUGGGAUGACCUCGUCCUAGUCCACGACUCUGCGAGGUCGGAGACUCCGUGGCCCCCAGAAACGCCCGUACCCUACUGAGACCCCGAAACUCCCCAGACCUCUCACCUGGUCCGACCUCCACGCCCGCUACCGGAAGUCCCGCCCCGCAAGCCCUGCUCCGCCCCCGCCGCGAUCGCGGAGAGCAGUGAAGAAACGGAAGCUGGCGGCUAGAGGGGCGUGCCGCGAUGACCCGGAACUCCUCGCGCCCUCUCCUGGAGGCCUCAGAGGUCACGGUGGCGCCUGCGCAGUGAGGUAUCAGCAAAAGCUGUCCAAUGAAUAAGUAAGACCAAAGAAGAAUUCAUGCAUUUAAAUUAUGGUGUUGACGAUGAAGAUUGAACAUACCAUGGACUGCCAGAAGAAUGAACAAAUCUGUCUCGGACGAAGUACAGCCAGAAUGCUCCUUAGAAGCGAGGAUGGAGAGACUUUGUCUCAAACACUUUGGGCAUGUUAUCAGGAAGGAUCAGUUUCUGGAGAAGGACAUCAUGCUUGGUAAAGGAGCGGGUCAGCCAAAAAGAGGAAGGCCCUCAGCAAGAUAGAUAGACACAGUAGCUGCAACAAUGGGCUCAAGCAUAGCAAUGAUUGUGAGGAUGGCGUAAGACCGGGCAGUGUUUUGCUCUGUUGUACACGAGGUCGCUAUGGGUCCGAAUAGACUCAAUGGCACCUAGUAAUAACAACACAUUUUUCAUAUUACACUGGAAAAACCUGCCACAUAUUGUACAUAAUUUUGUUUAGAUUUGGUAUGUGUUGUUUAAUUAGGUUAAAACAUUAUGAACCUCAUUGACACAGUUCACCCAAGUUCCCCAUACCCACUUCUAGGCAUGUGGCUGGACUACAUUUCGUAACAGUGUUGUGGUUGGGUAACACCAUGUGACUAUUACUGACGAGUCAUUUAUGAGCAGAAGAGAAGUAUUACCUCCUGGCCAGGGAAGUUCAUCGCCAGCGUGAAGGUCUCCAAAACGUUCUGGCCCCCUGCCACAAAGGCGACUGCCCUGCCAGCCACAACAGAUGUGCAUAUCUAGGCUAGAAACUAGCCUUUGUCAUUCUGAGUCACGUAACUUGGUUAUUACUACAAUGUAACCUACCCUAUCCUGCCUGAUACACUUAAUAUAUCAAAUUCUAUCAAAAAUAUUUAUUCCAAUUCUGAUCCUAUUUCAUCUUUUAAAAUGUUUAACACUUUCUUCUUAAAAAAUAAAAUUAUGUGCUAGCUACUGGACCGAUUAAUUUUUUAACAGUAUAUACCUUUAUUUGUCAUUAAACGUACAGGAAAAUUAUGAUUAUGAUAAAAAAAAAAAACUGAGUAGAGUUAUUCCAGAAUCUU